rnacentral:piRNA from 1 species
UUUGUGGGGCUUCAAAUGGCA